rnacentral:rRNA from 1 species
AUUGAACGCUGGCGGCAUGCCUUACACAUGCAAGUCGAACGGCAGCACGGGAGCUUGCUCCUGGUGGCGAGUGGCGAACGGGUGAGUAAUACAUCGGAACGUACCCAGGAGUGGGGGAUAACGUAGCGAAAGUUACGUUAAUACCGCAUAUUCUGUGAGCAGGAAAGCGGGGGAUCGCAAGACCUCGCGCUCUUGGAGCGGCCGAUGUCGGAUUAGCUAGUUGGUGAGGUAAAAGCUCACCAAGGCGACGAUCCGUAGCAGGUCUGAGAGGAUGAUCUGCCACACGGGGACUGAGACACGGCCCAGACUCCUACGGGAGGCAGCAGUGGGGAAUUUUGGACAAGGGGGGCAACCCUGAUCCAGCCAUGCCGCGUGAGUGAAGAAGGCCUUCGGGUUGUAAAGCUCUUUCGGCGGGGAAGAAAUGGCAACGGCUAAUAUCCGUUGUUGAUGACGGUACCCGCAUAAGAAGCACCGGCUAACUACGUGCCAGCCGCCGCGGUAAAAC